CACUGCCCUUAUAGAAGCAGGAGAGAGAGGAGGAGGAGAAGGGCUCCCCCCUCACUGCCCUUGUUUCAUUAUUGUCUCUGUAUUGUGACUUCACCGGUAAGUUAGACUUCUGGUCUAGUACAAUGUUGUGAUACAGGUGCUUGGUAAGUUAGACUUCUGAUCUAGUACAAUGUUGUGAUACAGGUGCUUGGUAAGUUAGACUUCUGGUCUAGUACAAUGUUGUGAUACAGGUGCUUGGUAAGUUAGACUUCUGAUCUAGUACAACGUUGUGAUACAGGUGCUUGGUAAGUUAGACUUCUGUUCUAGUACAACGUUGUGAUACAGGUGCUUGGUAAGUUAGACUUCUGAUCUAGUACAACGUUGUGAUACAGGUGCUUGGUAAAUUAGACUUCUGGUCUAGUACAACGUUGUGAUACAGGUGCUUGGUAAGUUAGACUUCUGGUCUAGUACAACGUUGUGAUACAGGUGCUUGGUAAGUUAGACUUCUGAUCUAGUACAACGUUGUGAUACAGGUGCUUGGUAAGUUAGACUUCUGGUCUAGUACAACGUUGUGAUACAGGUGCUUGGUAAGUUAGACUUCUGAUCUAGUACAACGUUGUGAUACAGGUGCUUGGUAAGUUAGACUUCUGAUCUAGUACAACGUUGUGAUACAGGUGCUUGGUAAGUUAGACUUCUGAUCUAGUACAACGUUGUGAUACAGGUGCUUGGUAAGUUAGACUUCUGGUCUAGUACAACGUUGUGAUACAGGUGCUUGGUAAGUUAGACUUCUGAUCUAGUACAACGUUGUGAUACAGGUGCUUGGUAAGUUAGACUUCUGGUCUAGUACAACGUUGUGAUACAGGUGCUUGGUAAGUUAGACUUCUGGUCUAGUACAAUGUUGUGAUACAGGUGCUUGGUAAGUUAGACUUCUGGUCUAGUACAACGUUGUGAUACAGGUGCUUGGUAAGUUAGACUUCUGGUCUAGUACAAUGUUGUGAUACAGGUGCUUGGUAAGUUAGACUUCUGAUCUAGUACAACGUUGUGAUACAGGUGCUUGGUAAGUUAGACUUCUGGUCUAGUACAACGUUGUGAUACAGGUGCUUGGUAAGUUAGACUUCUGGUCUAGUACAACGUUGUGAUACAGGUGCUUGGUAAGUUAGACUUCUGGUCUAGUACAAUGUUGUGAUUCAGGUGCUUGGUAAGUUAGACUUCUGGUCUAGUACAACGUUGUGAUACAGGUGCUUGGUAAGUUAGACUUCUGAUCUAGUACAACGUUGUGAUACAGGUGCUUGGUAAGUUAGACUUCUGGUCUAGUACAAUGUUGUGAUACAGGUGCUUGGUAAGUUAGACUUCUGAUCUAGUACAAUGUUGUGAUACAGGUGCUUGGUAAGUUAGACUUCUGGUCUAGUACAAU